AAAUAUUUUGCCUUUCCCUUUGAACCAUAAACUGCUUCUUUUAGGGUUUCCUUAACCCUUUGGCCGCCAUACAGCCCACGCCCCGAUUCCGACGGAGGGGACACCAGCUCGACGACUCCGGCGAAAGGUAAGUCUCCCUUUUUCUUUCUUUUUCGUAUUUUAAAGAAAAGAAAUAAUAAUAAUAAUGAAAUAAAAAACGAAAUAAAGUGUAAGAACAAAACCCUCUUUCCCUUUUUAUCAUUACAUGCACAGAAACAAAAAAGAAAAAAAAAACUAGAACACUUCUAAUAAUCACCUUAAAAACUGAUAUUUGCUCUGUUCUAUUGAUUUUUUCCCCUCUUUACAAAAUAAAGCGGCUUUAUAUAGCCCAGAAAAAAAAGAAAAAUAAAUUGAAUAAUUGUUAUUUUUUGCUGUUUCUUCUCUUUCGGACUUUUUGAGUUCGUGUUUGCAGGUGUUUGUGCGUGCAUGGAGAGGUCGGCCCUGAGAUGUCCGGCACUUGAGGAGUCUACUGGAGGUGGGGAGGCUGCUGCGGCUAGGGUGUAUAGUGCUAGGGUUUUCUGCUUAAUUUUACUGUGUUGGACUAGUUUAAUUGGGCUUGUAUUUUUUAAAUUUGGGCCGUGCUUUGUUUUAUAUGGGCUUGGGCCAGUUGGGCCUAUUACAAUAAUAUUUCAAAGAUGAUUUUAAAAAAUGAUAAAUCUUGAACAAAUAUUAUAAAAUAUAUACAAACCGAUGAUUUUUUUAAAACAUAUUUUAAAAAGUAUGCAUUGAAAAAUUUUCCAAAUAUAUUAAAAUUAAAAUAUGAGCAUAUCAAUUUUAGAACAAUAUUUUUUACCCAUGUUCAUGAUUUCUUUGUGCUAUUCUUUAUUCUUAUAAUCUUUGUGGAAGUUUGUCGCGAUGUGUCAGAUACAGUAAAUGAACCUCCACGGAACCCCCGAACAACUUAUUACAACCAAUAGCCCCUUUGAUCUGUCUAAUAUAAGGCAGAUGUUGUCUUGC
rnacentral:lncRNA from 1 species